rnacentral:rRNA from 1 species
AAUCUUCCACAAUGGGCGAAACCCUGCUCCAGCCAUCCCGCGUGCAUGAUGAAGGCCUUCGGGUUGUAAAUUACUUUUGGCAGGCAAGAAAGGAUAUCCCUAACUACGGGAUAUUGCUAACGGUAUUUACAGAAUAAGCACCGGCUAACUACCUGCCAGCAGCCGCGGUAAUACGUAGGGUGCAAGCGUUAAUCGGAAUUACUGGGCGUAAAGCGUGUGUAGGCGGUUCGGAAAGAAAGAUGUGAAAGCCCAGGGCUCAACCUUGGAACUGCAUUUUUAACUGCCGAGCUAGAGUAUGUCAGAGGGGGGUAGAAUUCCACGUGUAGCAGUGAAAUGCGUAGAUAUGUGGAGGAAUACCGAUGGCGAAGGCAGCCCCCUGGGAUAAUACUGACGCUCAGACACGAAAGCGUGGGGAGCAAACAGG